AUUGAACGCUGGCGGCAUGCUUUACACAUGCAAGUCGAACGGUAACAGGCCGCAAGGUGCUGACGAGUGGCGAACGGGUGAGUAAUGCAUCGGAACGUGCCCAGUCGUGGGGGAUAACGCAGCGAAAGCUGCGCUAAUACCGCAUACGAUCUGUGGAUGAAAGCGGGGGACCGUAAGGCCUCGCGCGAUUGGAGCGGCCGAUGUCAGAUUAGGUAGGUGGUGGGGUAAAGGCUCACCAAGCCAACGAUCUGUAGCUGGUCUGAGAGGACGACCAGCCACACUGGGACUGAGACACGGCCCAGACUCCUACGGGAGGCAGCAGUGGGGAAUUUUGGACAAUGGGCGCAAGCCUGAUCCAGCAAUGCCGCGUGCAGGAAGAAGGCCUUCGGGUUGUAAACUGCUUUUGUACGGAACGAAAAGGCUCUGGUUAAUACCUGGGGCUCAUGACGGUACCGUAAGAAUAAGCACCGGCUAACUACGUGCCAGCAGCCGCUGUAACAC
rnacentral:rRNA from 1 species